GGUUCUAUGGUGUAAUGGUUAGCACGAUGGAAUCUGAAUCCAGCAAUCUGAGUUCAAAUCUCGGUAGGACAU
rnacentral:tRNA from 1 species